GGGAUUAGUGGCGAACGGGUGAGUAACACGUGGGCAAUCUGCCCUGCACUCUGGGACAAGCCCUGGAAACGGGGUCUAAUACCGGAUACUGACCUGCCAAGGCAUCUUGGCGGGUCGAAAGCUCCGGCGGUGCAGGAUGAGCCCGCGGCCUAUCAGCUUGUUGGUGAGGUAAUGGCUCACCAAGGCGACGACGGGUAGCCGGCCUGAGAGGGCGACCGGCCACACUGGGACUGAGACACGGCCCAGACUCCUACGGGAGGCAGCAGUGGGGAAUAUUGCACAAUGGGCGCAAGCCUGAUGCAGCGACGCCGCGUGAGGGAUGACGGCCUUCGGGUUGUAAACCUCUUUCAGCAGGGAAGAAGCGAAAGUGACGGUACCUGCAGAAGAAGCGCCGGCUAACUACGUGCCAGCAAAAGCCCGACCGGUAAUACGUAGGGCGCAAGCGUUGUCCGGAAUUAUUGGGCGUAAAGAGCUCGUAGGCGGCUUGUCGCGUCGGUUGUGAAAGCCCGGGGCUUAACCCCGGGUCUGCAGUCGAUACGGGCAGGCUAGAGUUCGGUAGGGGAGAUCGGAAUUCCUGGUGUAGCGGUGAAAUGCGCAGAUAUCAGAGGAACACCGGUGGCGAAGGCGGAUCUCUGGGCCGAUACUGACGCUGAGGAGCGAAAGCGUGGGGAGCGAACAGGAUAAGAUACCCUGGUAGUCCACGCCGUAAACGGUGGGCACUAGGUGUGGGCAACAUUCCACGUUGUCCGUGCCGCAGCUAACGCAUUAAGUGCCCCGCCUGGGGAGUACGGCCGCAAGGCUAAAACUCAAAGGAAUUGACGGGGGCCCGCACAAGCGGCGGAGCAUGUGGCUUAAUUCCACGCAACGCGAAGAACCUUACCAAGGCUGGACAUACACCGGAAAGCAUCAGAGAUGGUGCCCCCCUUGUGGUCGGUGUACAGGUGGCGCACGGCUGUCCGUCAGCUCGUGUCGUGAGAUGUUGGGUUAAGUCCCGCAACGAGCGCAACCCUUGUCCCGUGUUGCAGCAACUCUUCGGAGGUUGGGGACUCACGGGAGACCGCCGGGGUCAACUCGGAGGAAGGUGGGGACGACGUCAAGUCAUCAUGCCCCUUAUGUCUUGGGCUGCACACGUGCUACAAUGGCCGGUACAAUGAGCUGCGAUACCGCAAGGUGGAGCGAAUCUCAAAAAGCCGGUCUCGUUCGGAUUGGGGUCUGCAACUCGACCCCAUGAAGUCGGAGUCGCUAGUAAUCGCAGAUCAGCAUUGCUGCGGUGAAUACGUUCCCGGGCCUUGUACACACCGCCCGUCACGUCACGAAAGUCGGUAACACCCGAAGCCGGUGGCCCAACCCCUUGUGGGAGGGAGCUUCGAAGUGACGCACGCCAUUCCU
rnacentral:rRNA from 1 species